rnacentral:misc_RNA from 1 species
GAUGAAGAACGUAGUGAAAUGCGAUACGUAGUGUGAAUUGCAGAAUUCAGUGAAUCAUCGAAUCUUUGAACGCACAUUGCGCCCUUUGGUAUUCCAAAGGGCAUGCCUGUUCGAGCGUCAUUUGUACCCUCAAGCUUUGCUUGGUGUUGGGCGUCUUGUCUCCAGUCCGCUGGAGACUCGCCUUAAAGUCAUUGGCAGCCGGCCUACUGGUUUCGGAGCGCAGCACAAGUCGCACUCUUUUCCAGCCAAGGUCAGUGUCCAACAAGCCUUUUUUCAACUUUUGACCUCGGAUCAGGUAGGGAUACCCGCUGAACUUAAGCAUACAAUAGCGGAGGA